rnacentral:sRNA from 4 species
ACCUUUCAGGUUGCAGCCUGAUUUAUUAGGCUGAUGGCUGGUGACUUUUUAGUCACCAGCCU